ACCUUUUAUUAUUGUUUUUAUAGAUCUGUUUUUGAUGUAACCAAGGGAAAAUCUCAUUAUGGGUCAGGAGGGGGCUACAAUCAUUUUGCUGGAAGGGAUGCUUCUCGUGCAUUUGUGUCUGGAAAUUUCACAGGAGAUGGUCUCACUGACUCACUGCGCGGUCUAUCUAGCAUUGAGGUGAAGAGUAUUGUCGAAUGGAGGGAUUUCUACCAUAAAUCUUAUAAGUAAGUCAUAUUUUCUGACAUCUGUUAUUUUGCUUUAGCUAACUUUUAAGUAGUUGGUUAAAGUCAUGAAUAUUUUGGAAUGCAUC